GACGAACGCUGGCGGCGUGCUUAACACAUGCAAGUCGAACGGAAAGGCCCUGCUUUUGUGGGGUGCUCGAGUGGCGAACGGGUGAGUAACACGUGAGUAACCUGCCCUUGACUUUGGGAUAACUUCAGGAAACUGGGGCUAAUACCGGAUAGGAGCUCCUGCUGCAUGGUGGGGGUUGGAAAGUUUCGGCGGUUGGGGAUGGACUCGCGGCUUAUCAGCUUGUUGGUGGGGUAGUGGCUUACCAAGGCUUUGACGGGUAGCCGGCCUGAGAGGGUGACCGGCCACAUUGGGACUGAGAUACGGCCCAGACUCCUACGGGAGGCAGCAGUGGGGAAUAUUGCACAAUGGGCGGAAGCCUGAUGCAGCAACGCCGCGUGCGGGAUGACGGCCUUCGGGUUGUAAACCGCUUUCGCCUGUGACGAAGCGUGAGUGACGGUAAUGGGUAAAGAAGCACCGGCUAACUACGUGCCAGCAGCCGCGGUGAUACGUAGGGUGCGAGCGUUGUCCGGAUUUAUUGGGCGUAAAGGGCUCGUAGGUGGUUGAUCGCGUCGGAAGUGUAAUCUUGGGGCUUAACCCUGAGCGUGCUUUCGAUACGGGUUGACUUGAGGAAGGUAGGGGAGAAUGGAAUUCCUGGUGGAGCGGUGGAAUGCGCAGAUAUCAGGAGGAACACCAGUGGCGAAGGCGGUUCUCUGGGCCUUUCCUGACGCUGAGGAGCGAAAGCGUGGGGAGCGAACAGGCUUAGAUACCCUGGUAGUCCACGCUGUAAACGGUGGGUACUAGGUGUGGGGUCCAUUCCACGGGUUCCGUGCCGUAGCUAACGCUUUAAGUACCCCGCCUGGGGAGUACGGCCGCAAGGCUAAAACUCAAAGGAAUUGACGGGGCCCCGCACAAGCGGCGGAGCAUGCGGAUUAAUUCGAUGCAACGCGUAGAACCUUACCUGGGUUUGACAUGGAUCGGGAGUGCUCAGAGAUGGGUGUGCCUCUUUUGGGGUCGGUUCACAGGUGGUGCAUGGCUGUCGUCAGCUCGUGUCGUGAGAUGUUGGGUUAAGUCCCGCAACGAGCGCAACCCUUGUUCACUGUUGCCAGCACGUUAUGGUGGGGACUCAGUGGAGACCGCCGGGGUCAACUCGGAGGAAGGUGGGGAUGACGUCAAGUCAUCAUGCCCCUUAUGUCCAGGGCUUCACGCAUGCUACAAUGGCUGGUACAGAGAGUGGCGAGCCUGUGAGGGUGAGCGAAUCUCGGAAAGCCGGUCUCAGUUCGGAUUGGGGUCUGCAACCCGACCUCAUGAAGUCGGAGUCGCUAGUAAUCGCAGAUCAGCAACGCUGCGGUGAAUACGUUCCCGGG
rnacentral:rRNA from 1 species